UCAGUACCAACCUCAGGCAUUCCAACACCUUGCUGGUAACUCACCCAGAUUGGUAUCCAGUGGUUUCUCCCUUAUCCAUUGUUUUCACCCUUUUCUGAACACUCAUUUCAUUAACAUGUGAUCAGAAUGGAAAUGCCUGUCCAAUGCUCAGUGUUGAGUCAGAGGUGGAGAGUUUGAUUCUCCAUUGUGCCCUCUGGGAGAAAAGCCAGCCUGUGUUGCUUUGGGCAAGUUGCACGGCCCCAAGACUCCACCCCCCCAAGAAUGAAAUGGUGUACUACUUCUGUGUAUUUCUUACCUAGAAGACCCUGGGAAGUCAGAAUUGACUUGACAGCACCACAUCAUCAUCAUCAUCAUCACCACCACCACCAUCAUCAUCAUUGUGAAACAUAAAAUUCAGGUGGCAACUAUUACAAUAAUGAUCCAGAGCAGAUGGAAGCAGUGCAGGCAGAGAGAUCAAGCCGUAUUUUGAAGAGGUUUAUAACAGCCAUUUUUCUCAGGAAGAUUAAAACUACCAGUUUCAUGAAGUCUGGAGGAAGACAGUUAAUCGAUUGCGUUUGGAUAAUCACACAAUUUGCUCACAAAACAUGAGUCACCAGACACUAGUUAGUCUGCCAAAAAUCAGAUUAAAAUUCCCCCAAUUAAUUUUUUUUGUUAGUGAUGGCAGCCAAUCCAAUUUCUUUACAAUCUAACAUUGACAUGUUUUAAUGAUCCUUUGGUAUGGUGGUUGUUACUGUUAGUUUUGAUGGUGGUGGUGGUGGGUUGAACACACCAGUCCGGUUUGUGUUCCACUCAUUGUCUAUAACAACAACAACAACCUCUCAAAACUUCAACUACCUUUCUAUUACUUCCAAAUAUAAGGAAUCACUUAACACCUAAAGAACUCCAUUAGGGAGAGGGAGCAAUGCUAUUUCAGAACAGCACUCAAACAAAAAGAGACCAGCUCCUCCUCAGAUGUCAAAGAGAAAAGAGAAUCCAGCUGUAUGCUCAAUAAUAAACACAGCCA
rnacentral:lncRNA from 1 species